UAGAGCGCGGCGGCCAUGUGUUUGGCUGAUUACAAACAUUUUUAAAAUUUCUUUAUCUUUUAGUUUCUUGGUCGAAUCUCAGCACUUGGAAUAAUUCGUGUUGAGCAUCGGUGUCAAGUGCGCAUGCACUACUAUUAGCAAAGUGAUUGAAAAGAUGGAACGGUGUCAGUUCACAGAAUCAAAUGUUUAACCUAACUUUUGCUUGGGCAGUGUAACAUUACUUACUGCUUUCUAUCAAUUUGUGCUGUUUUGAUUCUGAAAUGGUCACGAACAUAUUCAACAUUUUGAGUGGGAUGCCCUUUGAAGGCUUUGCAAGAAAAUUGGUGAAGCGCAAGUUGCUGGAUUACUCAGUGGACCCAACUGUACUGUACUACACCGGACUCCAAAGGAUCACGAGGAUUUGAAUUUACCAGCGGCUAGACUGCGAACUUGCUGUGAGAUGGAUCAGGGCCACACGGAUAAGCGGGAUGGAGUACAAGUUUUCAUCAAGAAAUUUUCUGCUCAUAUUUGGUCUAGUUUGAAUCUUUUUGUGCUGAUGGAACCCUGACUGUAAUAAAC